rnacentral:rRNA from 1 species
AGAGUUUGAUCAUGGCUCAGAGCGAACGCUGGCGGCAUGCUUAACACAUGCAAGUCGCACGGGCAGGGGUAACUCUGUCAGUGGCGGACGGGUGAGUAACGCGUAGGUAUCUAUCCUUGGGUGGGGGAUAACCACGGGAAACUGUGGCUAAUACCGCAUGAUGACUGAGGUCCAAAGGCGCAAGUCGCCUGGGGAGGAGCCUGCGUCCGAUUAGCUUGUUGGUGGGGUAAAGGCCUACCAAGGCUCCGAUCGGUAGCUGGUCUGAGAGGAUGAUCAGCCACACUGCGACUGAGACACGGCCCAGACUCCUACGGGAGGCAGCAGUGGGGAAUAUUGGACAAUGGGCGAAAGCCUGAUCCAGCAAUGCCGCGUGGGUGAAGAAGGUCUUCGGAUUGUAAAGCCCUUUCGACGGGGACGAUGAUGACGGUACCCGUAGAAGAAGCCCCGGCUAACUUCGUGCCAGCAGCCGCGGUAAUACGAAGGGGGCUAGCGUUGCUCGGAUUGACUGGGCGUAAAGGGCGCGUCGGCGGUUUGUACAGUCAGACGUGAAAUUCCUGGGCUCAACCUGGGGGCUGCGUGUGAUACGUGCGGGCUUGAGUCCGGAAGAGGGUCGUGGAAUUCCCAGUGUAGAGGUGAAAUUCGUAGAUAUUGGGAAGAACACCGGUGGCGAAGGCGGCGACCUGGUCCGGUACUGACGCUGAGGCGCGAAAGCGUGGGGAGCAAACAGGAUUAGAUACCCCCGUAGUCC